rnacentral:rRNA from 1 species
UACAGAGGUCUCAAGCGUUGUUCGGAAUUACUGGGCGUAAAGGGCUCGUAGGCGGCCAACUAAGUCCGACGUGAAAUCCCAAAGCUUAACUUUGGAACUGCGUCGGAUACUGGAUGGCUUGAAUUCGGGAGAGGGAUGCAGAAUUCCAGGUGUAGCGGUGAAAUGCGUAGAUAUCUGGAGGAAUACCGGUGGCGAAGGCGGCAUCCUGGACCGACAUUGACGCUGAUGAGCGAAAGCUAGGGGAGCAAACGGG